CGGGAGGCAUUCGUGGGGGAUAUUGGACAAUGGGCGGAAGCCUGAUGCCGCCUCCCCGCGUGAGGGAUGACGGCCUUCAGGUUGUAUGCCUCUUUCAUUACCGACGAACCUGCUCCUUUUUUGGGGUGGUGACGGUAGGUACAGAAGAAGCACCGGCCAACUACGUGCCAACAGCCGCGGUAAUACGUAUGGUGCGAGCGUUGUCCGGAAUUAUUGGGCGUAAAGGGCUCGUAGGCGGUUUGUCCCGUCGGGAGUGAAAACAUCGGGCUUAACUCGAUGCUUGCUUUCGAUACGGGCGGACUUGAGGUAUGCAAGGGAGAAUGGAAUUCCUGGUGUAGCGGUGAAAUGCGCAGAUAUCAGGAGGAACACCGGUGGCGAAGGCGGUUCUCUGGGCAUUACCUGACGCUGAUGAUCGAAAGUGUGGAGAGCGAACAGGAUUAGAUACCCUGGUAGUCCACACCGUAAACGUUGGGCGCUAGGUGUGGGACCUAUUCCAUGGGUUCCGUGCCGUAGCUAACGCAUUAAGCGCCCCGCCUGGGGAGUACGGCCGCAAGGCUAGAACUCAAAGGAAUUGACGGGGGCCCGCACAAGCGGCAGACCAUGCGGAUUCAUACGACGCAACGCGAAGAACCUUACCUGGGUUUGACAUACACCGGAAGUCUUUAGAGAUAGAGGUCUCUUUUGAUACCGGCGUACCGGUGGUGCAUGGCUGUCGUUCGCUCGUGUCGUGAGAUGUGGGGUUAAGUCCCGCACGAGCGUAACCCUCGUUCCAUGUUGCCAGCAUACCUUCGGG
rnacentral:rRNA from 1 species